rnacentral:rRNA from 1 species
UACGUAGGGUGCGAGCGUUGUCCGGAAUUACUGGGCGUAAAGAGCUCGUAGGUGGUUUGUCGCGUUGUCCGUGAAAACUCACAGCUUAACUGUGGGCGUGCGGGCGAUACGGGCAGACUGGAGUACUGCAGGGGGAGACUGGAAUUCCUGGUGUAGCGGUGAAAUGCGCAGAUAUCAGGAGGAACACCGGUGGCGAAGGCGGGAUCUCUGGGCAGUAACUGACGCUGAGGAGCGAAAGCGUGGGGAGCGAACAG